AUAUAGGCCCUUCUAAGGGCCAUUUUCUUUAACAAUAAUGUUGCUG
rfam:Corvus brachyrhynchos isolate BGI_N302 unplaced genomic scaffold scaffold142, whole genome shotgun sequence.